rnacentral:rRNA from 1 species
UAAUACAGAGGGUGCAAGCGUUGUUCGGAAUUACUGGGCGUAAAGCGUCUGUAGGCGGUGCUGAGAGUCCUAGGUGAAAUCCCCAAGCUCAACUUGGGAACUGCCUGGGAGACCUCAGUACUAGAGUACGAAAGGGGUCGCUGGAAUUCCAUGUGUAGCGGUGAAAUGCGUAGAUAUAUGGAGGAACACCUGUGGCGAAGGCGGGCGACUGGUUCGAGACUGACGCUGAGAGACGAAAGCGUGGGGAGCAAACAGG